rnacentral:rRNA from 1 species
UACAGAGGUCCCAAGCGUUAUUCGGAUUCACUGGGCGUAAAGGGUGCGUAGGCGGUCGGGUAAGUCUGACGUGAAAUCUUCAAGCUCAACUUGGAAACUGCGUCGGAUACUAUUCGGCUAGAGGAAUGGAGGGGAGACUGGAAUACUUGGUGUAGCAGUGAAAUGCGUAGAUAUCAAGUGGAACACCAGUGGCGAAGGCGAGUCUCUGGACAUUUCCUGACGCUGAGGCACGAAAGCCAGGGGAGCAAACGGG